GUACGGAGGGUGCAAGCGUUACUCGGAAUCACUGGGCGUAAAGCGCGCGCAGGCGGCUAUUUAAGUUGGAUGUGAAAGCCUACGGCUCAACCGUAGAACUGCAUCCAAAACUAUUUAGCUAGAGUGUGGGAGAGGAAGAUGGAAUUAGUUGUGUAGGGGUAAAAUCCGUAGAGAUAACUAGGAAUACCAAAAGCGAAGGCAAUCUUCUGGAACACUACUGACGCUGAGGCGCGAAAGCGUGGGGAGCAAACAGGAUUAGAAACCCUAGUAGUCC
rnacentral:rRNA from 1 species